rnacentral:rRNA from 1 species
GAUGAACGCUGGCGGCGUGCCUAAUACAUGCAAGUCGAGCGAACAGACGAGGAGCUUGCUCCUCUGACGUUAGCGUCGGACGGGUGAGUAACACGUGGAUAACCUACCUAUAAGACUGGGAUAACUUCGGGAAACCGGAGCUAAUACCGGAUAAUAUAUUUAACCGCAUGGUUCAAUAGUGAAAGACGGUUUUGCUGUCACUUAUAGAUGGAUCCGCGCCGCAUUAGCUAGUUGGUAAGGUAACGGCUUACCAAGGCGACGAUGCGUAGCCGACCUGAGAGGGUGAUCGGCCACACUGGAACUGAGAAACGGUCCAGACUCCUACGGGAGGCAGCAGUAGGGAAUCUUCCGCAAAGGGCGAAAGCCUGACGGAGCAACGCCGCGUGAGUGAUGAAGGUCUUCGGAUCGUAAAACUCUGUUAUUAGGGAAGAACAAAUGUGUAAGUAACUAUGCACGUCUUGACGGUACCUAAUCAGAAAGCCACGGCUAACUACGUG